UAUUAAAAAUUUCAUCCAUUUAUACUGUUAAAAACUGGCAUGAUUGAUGAAAUAACUAGACAGUGACAUGUGAUAUGCUAGGUAUACCUUAUGUUGACAUACAUGGAUAAAUUUUUAACUGAUUAAAUUGAUAAAAAAUUUUAACA
rfam:Gossypium raimondii Chr10_contig_545, whole genome shotgun sequence.